AAAUCUGCUGUCAGUUGUCGCUGAUAGUCAUAAAGAUCCUGACGCUCUUUCAGUUUCUGUUCAGAAUGUGUAACUUCUCAACGAUCUUGGAAUGAAUUAGGACUUGCAUAAGCUGCCUACAGCAUAGAUCAGAUCAAGAGUAGCACUCCGGAUAUAUUGAUGGUAAUAGCACCUUCUGAGCUGCCUCUUCCCUCAGUUGAUGACCAGAGUGUUUGAGACAUCAACAAAGGAGACGGAGUCCCUCUUCUUUGAUGAUUUGAUUUCGGAGUAUCCAUCAAGAAGGCCCUGUAAAAAUGAUGCCCUGUAAAAAUCUCCCUUUCUUUUAGAGAAGGGGUUGGAAAAUAAGGCUAAAACUUCUUAAUAUAUGAUAUCAGAAUCCCAAAUAUGGAACUUAUUGUUCCUGAAACUUGAGGAUAUAGUUCAGGCUCAUCAACUACAAUUCAAGGGCAAACUCAUUUUCCAGUCACUGGGCUGAGCGAACCUUUGGUACUUCAGUAGGGUGAGCUGUUUGAUAGUGACUUCUUUCGUUUGUUGAGGCGACGAAAGGCUACUUCAAUCUAGGAAACAGCCGGAACCUCAAGAGGAUUCGCCUUUGGAGAAGCGUUUGCCGAUAACCAAAGUCUCGCUCUGAUUAUUUUCGUGAGGCUGAUUGUGGAACUAACACUCAGGGCUGCAAAUUCACAGAACAAAACAUGAGAAAAGAACAGUGUCCAAGUUUCAACAUAAGAGAACAAACUAGAAAGUUUAAAGUUCCUGUUUCUUUCCCCUUUCUUUUUGGUUGUUAUAAUAUAAUAUAGGUUCUUGAUUAUUAUUACCUUAUGCAGAUGGAAGCUUGCUGGUAGCCGGUGGCCGGCUGGCCGGUUAGAUAUUACAAAGGUUUUGGAUAUCUAACACUGGUGAUUAAAGAAAACAAUAAGAUUUAGUUUGAAUAAAAACAAGAAAAGAAACAGAAA